UAAUAAGUGUUUUAUGGCACUUUUUAAAUCCAUAUCCACCUUGUGUGCAAUGUCAGUCGAUCUUCUUCAUGGAGAUCGACCAAACAUCAACCUUUAUUUUUAACUCUUUGUCUGAAAAAUAUUAUGAAUAAACAAUUCAAAUA
rnacentral:misc_RNA from 1 species